AAUUUGGGACGAAUUUGCCCUUUAAUUUCAGGCAUUUUAUAGAUUGCCCAGGCCAGAUGGGUAUAAUUGUAAUUUUACUCCUGCCCGCGUGGCGCCUUCUCCACCGCUUUCUCCCACCUACCACUUUAUUACUCCCCUUAAUUUUGACAUUUUACGCAGAGAAACAAUUACAAGAACGACGAUUGAGAGAGAGAGAGAGAGAGGACGAUGAAGGCGGCCACGACGGCGAUGACGAUAACGACAAUGAAAAGGACGGCAAUGGAGAAGGCAAAUAAGAGGUGAUUUUUUUAUACUAAGUUUUCGCAAAUUUCGACGGAUUGCGUGUUCAAUUUGCACAGAUCUGUUAAUUCUGAUUUGUAUUUUCCUUGUUUUCGCCAAACUUGGGCACCGGCGGGGUCAAAGGGGCUCUACCCGCGCUGGGUGCGGACCAGUUCGACCAAAAGGUCCCGAAAGAGGCCAAGGCUCUGGCCAGUUACUUCAACUUCCUUCUGUUAGCGCCAAUAAAGGGUGGUGGUGGGGGUUUCUCAUUUGCACUGUUGUUACUGGUAUUGGGUAUGCUGUGCUCACUGUUGGAAGGCCUUUCUAUCGGAUCCAUGUGCCCGGGGAGAGCCCCGUCAUCAGGAUCGCACAGGUCUUUAUAUCUCGUACUGAUUGUAGUGUCUUUAAAAAAUCGAAGGAUGAAUCUACCAGAGAGCCUUGAUGAACUCUACGAGAUCAACGAAAAGGAAUCAAUUUCUCAGGAGCAAAAACUUUCACACACCAAACAAUUCAG